GAUGAACGCUGGCGGCGUGCUUAACACAUGCAAGUCGAACGGUGAAGCCGGAGCUUUCUCUGCUGGAUCAUUGCCGCACGGGUGAGUAACACGUGAGCAAUCUGCCCCUGACUCUGGGAUAAGCGCUGGAAACGGCGUCUAAUACUGGAUACGAGCUGCGAAGGCAUCUUCAGCAGCUGGAAAGAACUUCGGUCAGGGAUGAGCUCGCGGCCUAUCAGCUUGUUGGUGAGGUAACGGCUCACCAAGGCGUCGACGGGUAGCCGGCCUGAGAGGGUGACCGGCCACACUGGGACUGAGACACGGCCCAGACUCCUACGGGAGGCAGCAGUGGGGAAUAUUGCACAAUGGGCGAAAGCCUGAUGCAGCAACGCCGCGUGAGGGACGACGGCCUUCGGGUUGUAAACCACUUUUAGCAGGGAAGAAGCGAAAGUGACGGUACCUGCAGAAAAAGCGACGGCUAACUACGUG
rnacentral:rRNA from 1 species